rnacentral:rRNA from 1 species
AUGACGACCGCCGCGGGGUCGGAGUCGUCGUCCUCCUCGACCCCGGCGACGGCGGCGGCGGUGCUGCCGGUGGGGUUCCGGUUCCGUCCGACGGACGAGGAGCUGGUGCGGCACUACCUCAAGGCCAAGAUCGCGGGGCGGGCGCACCCGGACCUGCUGGCGAUCCCGGACGUGGACCUGGCGGCGGUGGAGCCGUGGGACCUGCCCGCCCGCUCCGUCAUCAAGUCGGACGACCCCGAGUGGUUCUUCUUCGCCCGCCGCGACCGCCCCAAGUACCCCGGCAAGUCCUCCCGCUCCUGCCGCUCCACCGCCGCCGGAUACUGGAAGGCCACCGGCAAGGACCGCCUCAUCCGGGCGCCCGGCCCCGGCGGCUGCAGGGGGAAGGGCGCCCUCAUCGGCGUGAAGAAGACCCUGGUGUUCCACCGCGGCCGCGCCCCACGCGGCGCACGCACCCCGUGGAUCAUGCACGAGUACACCGCCACCGACCCAAACCCCCAAUCCCAGUCCCAAUCCCAGUCUGCAGGCCCCCAAAAUGAUAGCUUUGUUCUGUACCGCCUGUUCAACAAGCAGGAUGAAGAGACCCCGGCCCCCGUUUCAGAACCCCCGUCCACGUCGCCUCCAGCCAAUCCGCCGCUACAGCAAGCCGACGACACGGCCAGCGCCUCCAUGGUGGAAGACAAGGCCUCGCCAUCUGAUUCGAGCCAGCUGACCCCGACCAAUGCAACCACCGACCACACCUCCACUGCCCAUCUUCUUGCAGCCGCCGGUGACGCAGAGCAGAUAGCGGAUCAGGAUGCUGCUUAUCUGAAUAUGUUGGCCCAGCUUCCUGCAAUCAGCUCCCCGAUGCGUCCUUACACGGAUCUCCCUUUUGUCGGCAACAUGGGUGAUGAGCAGGAAGACUUCUCGAUGUAUCUGAACAACAUCAUAGGCUCAUGGACUCCUUAUCCCCAAGAUAUGUUGGACAUGAUAAAUUCAAUUGGCCCUAUGGGAGCAGCACCUUGGACGCAGCAGCAGCAGCAGGCCACAGCUCCAGUAGAGUUGAUGGACCCACAACAAGGGAUUGCGGCAAGGAGGAUCCGGCUUGCGUACGCUGUUGAGAGGGCAUCGGCGUCUCAGCCUAUAUUAGCUUGUCACUCGGAAAGCGAAGAAGGUGAGGGCGAAUCAGCUGGCUGUAGCACAGAAAGUUCAUCCAACAACCAUGAGGAGGAGGAUCAUGUCAAUGAUGCACUUUUCCAAACCAUGGCUGGAGAUCUGAUGCAUAACAUCACUCCUGCUCAAGCGCUACUGGUUUCUUCGGUGGAAGUUGCAGACAAGCUCCAGCAUCUAUCAUUCAAUGAUGACAGCAUAUUGGAAGAAGAAGAUGCCAAGCCGCGUCGUGGAGCCGGUCUGAAGCAGAGGGUGAAGCAGGACUCGGGUCGAAACGGGCAUGACCCGGACGGACUCCUGCGCAACAGUGCCUACUUGCCUGGCCCUGGAGAUUCAUUUUCAGAAACAGCGAGACGGCGGAGGUCCCUCUGGCUGGCGCUCCUGGUGAUGGCCAUCCCCCUCUGCUUGUGCUUGUAUUGGUUGGUGUCUGGAGGUCACUGA